AUAAAUUUUAGUGUUAAUUUAAUUUUAUUUAAAAAAUAAAAUUAUUUAUUUGUAGUAAUUAAUAUUAAAUUAUUUAAGAAAUUAAGAUUUAGUAAUAUUUUAAUUAAUAACAAAUUUUGUGCCAGCAGUUGCGGUUAAACAAAAGUUAAAUUAAAUUUUAUUAGUAAUUAAUAAAUAAAAUAAUAAUGUAAUUUAAAUUUUAAAUUAUUAAGUGAAAUUUUAAUUUAAUAAAAUAUUAUUAAUGUUUUAUGAUUUAAUAAAAUUUUAUUAAAAACUAGGAUUAGAUACCCUAUUAUUAAAAUUUUAAAUUUGAAUACUAAAAUAGUAAAUAAUUUAUUUAUUGAAACUUAAAUAACUUGGCGGUAUUUUAGUUCAUUUAGAGGAAUCUGUUUAAUAAUUGAUAAUCCACGAAUAAAUUUACUUAAUUUUUAAUUUUGUAUAUCGUUGUUAAAAAAAUAUUUUUUUUAAAUAAUAAUAUUUUAAAAUUUUAAUUUAAAUUAAAUCAGAUCAAGAUGCAGAUUAUAAUUAAGAAUAUAAUGGAUUACAAUAAAUUUAUUUAAAUGAAUAUUAAUUUGAAAUAAUUAAUUGAAAGUGGAUUUAAAUGUAAUUUUAUUUAAUUUAAUAAAAUGAUUAAAAAUUGAAAUAUGUACAUAUUGCCCGUCGCUUUCAUAUAUUUAAUAAAUUGAAAUAAGUCGUAACAAAGUAGAGGUACUGGAAAGUGUUUCUAGAAAGAC
rnacentral:ncRNA from 1 species